CUGGUUCUCCCCGAAAGCUAUUUAGGUAGCGCCUCGUGAAUUCAUCUCCGGGGGUAGAGCACUGUUUCGGCUAGGGGGCCAUCCCGGCUUACCAACCCGAUGCAAACUGCGAAUACCGGAGAAUGUUAUCACGGGAGACACACGGCGGGUGCUAACGUCCGUCGUGAAGAGGGAAACAACCCAGACCGCCAGCUAAGGUCCCAAAGUCAUGGUUAAGUGGGAAACGAUGUGGGAAGGCCCAGACAGCCAGGAUGUUGGCUUAGAAGCAGCCAUCAUUUAAAGAAAGCGUAAUAGCUCACUGGUCGAGUCGGCCUGCGCGGAAGAUGUAACGGGGCUAAACCAUG
rnacentral:rRNA from 1 species